UACGAAGGGGGCUAGCGUUGCUCGGAAUCACUGGGCGUAAAGGGUGCGUAGGCGGGUCUUUAAGUCAGGGGUGAAAUCCUGGAGCUCAACUCCAGAACUGCCCUUGAUACUGGCGGUCUCGAGUCCGGGAGAGGUGAGUGGAACUGCGAGUGUAGAGGUGAAAUUCGUAGAUAUUCGCAAGAACACCAGUGGCGAAGGCGGCUCACUGGCCCGAUACUGACGCUGAGGCACGAAAGCGUGGGGAGCAAACAGG
rnacentral:rRNA from 1 species